rnacentral:tRNA from 2 species
GCGGGAGUAGCUCAGUGGUAGAGCAUCACCUUGCCAAGGUGGGGGUCACGGGUUCGAAACCCGUCUCCCGCU